AGGCCCCUUUUGAAAGUAGAUGUGGCCCAUGGCUUCACUUGAUCUGCGUACUGGGGCAGAAGUGAUGAGGUGUAGGGAUGCAGCCACCUCUCCGUGCUCCCCAUUCCGGGCCCCGUCACCGUGAGCAUGUUCUGUGAUGGGGCCUUCAGCAUCCUGCUUCGUUGAGUGACGAUGAGCAGAGCCCCAUUGUGGCUCGAGUAUGAACAAGAAAUAAGUUGAGCACCCUUUCAGAGCAAAAUUUGCUUGAAACUUGCUGGCUACUCAGUUCCUCUGCAGCGCAGAUCCACUUCAGGCUGGGCCCUGUCAUCUCAACAACAUUCACUGGAGCCCUGAUUCACGCCAGGCAUUAAUGACAGAUGGGAUGGGGAGACAAAGUCUCUGUCACUAAAGAGAUCACCAGACUAUAAACAAAUGAUUAUCAAAGAGAUGGCGGGUGUAUGGCUAAGGAACAUUUUGUCCCAUGAGAUAUGAAGGGAGAGUAGCUGCCUGGAAGAUGUGGGCCCAGGACUGGAAAACAUUAUCCAUACUGUUUGGCACAAGGUUGGGAUCAAAAGGUGAACUGUUACAUCUAACGCUCAUAUUACCUACAAGUUGAACAAGGACUACAAAGGCUCAUGAGACAGGAAUGCUG